GAUGAACGCUGGCGGCGUGCCUAAUACAUGCAAGUCGAGCGAACAGACGAGGAGCUUGCUCCUCUGACGUUAGCGGCGGACGGGUGAGUAACACGUGGAUAACCUACCUAUAAGACUGGGAUAACUUCGGGAAACCGGAGCUAAUACCGGAUAAUAUAUUGAACCGCAUGGUUCAAUAGUGAAAGACGGUUUUGCUGUCACUUAUAGAUGGAUCCGCGCCGCAUUAGCUAGUUGGUAAGGUAACGGCUUACCAAGGCAACGAUGCGUAGCCGACCUGAGAGGGUGAUCGGCCACACUGGAAGUGAGACACGGUCCAGACUCCUGCGGGAGGCAGCAGUAGGGAAUCUUACGCAAUGGGCGAGAGCCUGACGGAGCAACGCCGCGUGAGUGAUGAAGGUCUUCGGAUCGUAAAACUCUGUUAUUAGGGGAGAACAAAUGUGUAAGUAACUAUGCACGUCUUGACGGUACCUAGUCAGAAAGCCACGGCUAACUACGUG
rnacentral:rRNA from 1 species